AAAUAAUAAUAAAAUGUUCUCAUUCCACAAUUUGUAAACUAAAUCACACAAUUACAAAGGAGAUGCUCGACUGGAAAACUACAAAGGAGAUGCUCGACUGGAAAACUAAAGUAGAAAGGGGUAGAAAUUAGUAAGAUGAAUUCAUGUAGAACUUAUAGAUGAUUUCACAAAUGUCGCCCAUUCCGGAUAAAUGCCAUCUACUAGGUAGUAUCCCAAGUUAUACUCAUUGUGAUUGACUUCAAAGUGAACUUGUUCAUGUCUUUUCUUUUGGGCAUCAUCAUAAGCUGAAGUAUCUUUGUGAAGAAGAUCAAGGUAUUUGCUCAGUUUUUCCACCUUUAUCUUCUCCUUCUCAGUUUCAACUCUUUCUUUCUCAGCUUCUGCUUGAACUUUUGUGGCUUGUGCUUGAAUAAGGGUGGCGUCGGCCAUUUUCUCUGCAGCAAUUGAUUUUCUUAGUUGAAUCUCAUUAAAUUUGUCCACACUCUCACUUGUCAAGCUUCCAGAGCAUUUAGACCUGCUUGAUGACUUCUGUUUAUCUUUUGCGUCUUUUGAAGUGUUGCGUCCCGGGGGUCGUUGAAGUUCACCUUCCUCAUCUAUUGCCUGGGUUGGAGAACUAUAAGCUCCUGAUGCAUUCAACUUGUUUCUUUUGUUCAUCUCUUCAACUGAAUAAGACCUUCUCCAUUUAGCCUCUUUCCUCACGUACUCCCACCAGUGCUCAUAUGGAAAGGGUCUUUUUGUCUUGGCAACACUCAUGUAUUUGGCACGUACCCUCUCCAUAAGUUGCUUGUCAUCGCUCCCACUAGGCCAUGUACUUUUUUCAACAUUGUAGAUACCAUUGAACUUUGUAGCCUUCUUUGUGGUCUUGGUCCAGUGGUUCUUGCAUUGCCCAACUGUUUUCUUCUGCUCUUUCGUUGCAUAUUUGUUGUACUCUGCUGCGACUUCCUUCCAAUAGGUCUCUGCCCUUUUGGAGUUUCCAUCAAUCGGAUCACAUGAAUUGUGCACCCAAGCUGCUAUGAGAAGUUCAUCCUCACGCUUACUCCAGUUCUUGCCUUUUCCUUUUUUCUGAAUCUCAUCAGGACUACUAUCACUGCCAUCUUGAUUAUUGACAGCCAGAUCUUCAUCCACUUGAUAUGCAGGUGACAUGGGAGAACUAAAUCCAACUGGACUGUUCUCAUCUCCUCUUGAACUAGUGCCUCUAGCAGAUCCAAGAAAAGGUAUGCAUCCAGCAGGAGAAGCUGGACUGCUACUUGAGCCUGCUCCAAAUGCUCCUGGAGGGUACUGCCCCAUGUUACCUUGGGAAGCAACACCAUGGUAGCCUGGAGGUAUGGAUGGAACUUGCUGGUUAUUUGGGCUCUGUGCAUCUGAAGGUGGGAAGGAGGAGUUCAUCAUGCUUGUGAAGCUUUGAGAAGAUGAGUGCUCCAUGUUUUGGGGGAGAGUUUUUCCAAGAUCUUCUUGUGCUUCUAUGAGCUUGUUCUGUAUAUUUUAUAGACAUAUUCUCCAAACGGGCAGAUUUUUCUAUUGCAGUGCAACGGUCAUCUGAAAAUUUGAGUGCUCUGGUUUGCUGUAACUUGAAUGCUGUUUGGUAUGGAUUGAAUGAUGUUGCUCGGUGGUGGUUGGGUAGGAA